UCUCGAUCACGGAUGACGAGAACCAAAAGAUAUUUCCUAAAAUACACUAAGUUUAUUUGAUGCUUUUUUUACUUCCUAUGCUCUUAAGAUCUCAUCACUGAAAAGUCGGACACUUUAGCAUGCUCUUAGAGGUCGAUUAAUUUUUUGAAGAUACGUCACUAUGNCAACAUAGUAGUACGUGCCUAUGACUUAUNGUAAGGUAUUUGACACCUUCAUUACAACGGAUACGAGUACUUCCACUUUUUCAUGCUCANAAUAGCACAUUUGCAUGACUGAGAGACUCCGAAAUGAAGUGUAUUUUUNGUGGCUUGAAAUACACAAAGAAAUUUUUAGAUCUUUUCCUGCCGUGGAUUGUAUCAGAGUUGCGAAUUGAAGGCCGUCAGCUUUGCAAACUCACAGUGAGUAGAUUUUUACCUGCCUUGCUUCCAGGUUGUUAACGUUGUGUGUAUUGGGUCAGAGGUACCUGGAAUGCAAGGAACUAAAACCUCUAGCACACACACAACUACACGAGAUACAAGAAGUAACACGACAAACAAGUCAUGACAAAACUAGUCCCAAAACUUUGCCUGCGAAUCUGAACGGCGUGCAGCUAAACUACGACUCCCUCAUGAUACACACGAUGAAGCCUGUUGGUGAGCAAUACUCAAGUAACGGAGGCACGAGUAGGAUAGAAAAAAGGAAAGCAAAACAAGAUACACCAUUGGACCUUGUGUUGCCCGGAAUUGAAGGCUUCCUUAAGGAUGUCCUACGACAAGAAAGUCUCAGCGAUGAAGGAGAGGAAUUACGACGUUUCUAUAUCAAAAUCCUUGAAAAUACUACAGAAAAUUCUACAGAUAUAAUAGAGACUUUUGAUAUAAAUAAAAAUGAUCCAAGUCCACUAAAAACGCCUCCGAUAACAGGGUCCUGUUUUACGUACGACGACGAGGGCACCUCAGAGGACAAACUACUUGAUCGACAAGAUUACUCAAAGGAGAGACAAGCUUCAAAGGAACCAGUUUCAAAUGUGCCUCGACAAGACCGCAAAGGAACUGACAGCACAGAAGAAAGUGGAGUAUUUUUCAACUCUCACUACGCCUCGUCUGGUGGCCAAGAGGUUUCCAACCCUCGCCACUCGGAUACAUUCGAGUCGACAUCUUCACGAGACACAUUCUUGUCUGAUUCAGACUUUGAACUUUUAGAAUGGGAAAAUGACUCAAUUGUCAACGAGGAUGGCUAUUGCACCGAAGACAACUUGGAAAAUUCUGUACAAAAUAUGCAAUUUCAUCCCAACGAGUUUGGGGAGAUUUAUUCGGGUGUUUUGUACAUCCGAGAACAACCUGGAUGGCAUAAGCGCUGGUUUACGGUUACAGAACGAUGCAUGAAAUGUUAUAAAUACAAAACAGACGAUAAAAUGCUAUUUGAAAUUCCUCUACGGGAUGGGAAGUUCGUUUCUACAGACCGUAAGAGAAGUCGAAUGUUUCCCAUGACUCUGUCGAUAGCAAGACUAAAGGACAGCAUUACGUUUGCUACCACAGAAGAAAAAUCAAGACAGGAAUGGAUAUUCGUCAUCAAUCACGUAAUGAACAAGCUAACUGAGAACCCUUCAGAAAGUCCUAGCCCUGUUGAUAUUAAAGAUGUGCCAUUUAGUUCGUUACUACGGGCCGAAAGUCUCGAGGAACGUCGUGGUAAAGGUUCCUCGUCAGAGAAUUUUCCAGAACAUUCUAAAACACACAUUGUAGAAACCCGGUCGGAGAGUUUAAAGAGAAAAACCUGGCACGCUGGAGUGGAUAAAGGUUUCAAAGAUGUUAUGAAUCAAUGGAGAGUAAAAGGAGAAGAUGAAACUGAUGACAUGGAGCCGCCUUCUCUUGCACAGGAAGAAUCUUUCAAAGAGUUGCAAGAGUGUUUACCUGAUAUUUUACAAAGACCAAAAUCAAAAAGCUGGAGAGGAGAUUUAGAGAACAAUCAUCUUCCUUCAUCGAAGAAAGGCCUGACAGGCCCGGGAUCUACUCAAAACCGCAAAAAUAUUACUUUCAACGCAGAAGUAGAAAACAAGCAGAGUUCGAACUCAGAUCUCACUAAUGUUCCUCGAGUCAAGAGACAUGGGUCUUUGGCGAACUCUCUUACAAACAAAGCAGCGCGAGUAAGGUCGAAGUUGACCACAUCGUUUUUCAAGAAAGGAAAAAAGGAAGAGAGAGUUUACCAACAAGCUGAAUCUCAAAACACGAUAUUUUCUGGAUACCUCAUAAGGAAGAAAGGCAACGUGUGGAAAAAUCGAUGGUGUGUAGUCAAGAAUCACUCNCUGUAUAGUUUUAAGGAAUUUGGAGCACCAUUGGCAGAACUGGAACUCACCCUGUUUGGGUGCGGAGUUAAAGCGUUACCCGAGGGGGAGAAGCCGUUUAUGUUUGUACUGAUAGCUGACAAGGAGCAGCUUUACUUUGCUGUGGAAAAUGAUGCGGAGUUGGAAGAAUGGCUCGUCGUGCUUGAAAAUGAGGCAAGGAGGGCUGAAAAAGAAGAUGAUGAAAUAAACAUUUAUCCAACAGAUUCACUCGAUGGCGCCAUGUUGACAACACUAUCGUCCCCAGACUCCCCUCAGGAAUCACAAAAAUCGUUUGAACCACAACCUGAANUGACCGAAGAACAAGAAAAACCACAAGUAACGAAAAGGGCACAUUCAUUCACUAGAGCAUCCAAAGAAACAUCACAAAUACAAGGCCCAAAGAGAUCUUCUUUGCUAGGUGCCCUUGCCCAUAAACUUGCAAAACAAUCGUCUAAAUCCAAGGUCUCAACUGAUUCUGAACUUGAUGACAAAGCAAGGAGAGAGCUGCAACCAAAUGAAAUUGAAAAUCUUGUAUUACCUAAUCAACAACCUCAAACCGAGGCAGAAAAAAGUGUAACUGAGAAUGGUCCAACGAUGAAAGGAACUUUAUAUUAUCGACCCGUGGAUACUUGGCUAAAAAGCAAGGUCAAUCUUCAGAAUCAUUCACUUGAUAUUGAACCCGAAAUCGAUUUCACAGACUCCAUCAAACAAUUUGAAACUCUAAAGUUCAGGCUCGUUAACUGUCUAGUGCUAGACUGUACAGACACAGAAGGACCACUAAUUAUGGUCGUCAAGAGAGCCAUUGGACAACCGCUGUACCUGCGGGCUGAAACUGAAGAAGAUUACGUCGCAUGGAAGGACGCUAUUUCCUCUGCUAUCCUCACCACUUCUUUAACUAAGGACCGUUUAUUGUCGAGCGAGAGUGGGUGCGAAGGCGAUGAUUCAUGCACAACAGCAACCCCAAGUAGCUCGAAGAUUUCUGGAGACUCUUUCGAUAGGGAUGAUGUUUUCUUCAAAGACAUCACUGUACAAGAACAUCUGGUGAAUCACAAUCCAGAGCCUCAUCCGUCGCCUAGGGCAACUACAGCUGGCGAUGUGUCAAGCGAAAGUAGCGUAGAUGAUCAUCAUAGUAAAGCAAGAGUUCAAAUCAAAAGAGCAUAUUCGGCUGGUGGGAUUGAUAGGAUUCGUUCGUUAUCUGAAGGAUACUUGGUUCAUUCCAAGAAAAGACAGAGUCCCCUACGUCGUACUAUCUCAAAUGCUUUGACCAUUCUGGACCUUUCAUCUACGAAACGACGAAGAAAAACAUUUGGUGGCCUUGGUGUUAAUGCAUCCCUUCUCAUUGGUAUUAAGUACACAUCUUGCUUAUAUUUUCGUGUCAACAAGGGACCUUGGUCAGAACGCUGGNGUGUUCUGCAGCAGAACAAUCUACACUUCUUUAAGAACUCUGAAGACAUUUAUCCAUGCUCUACUAUGAAGCUUGAAGAUUGUGUUGUGGAAAAAACAAGCUUUAAAGGAAAGAAGUUUGCGUUCGUGGUGAAGCUGCCGUUGGAUAAAAAACAGUAUUGCUUCUCUGCGGAAAGUGAACGAGAAUUGGAUAUUUGGAUUAGAUUACUACAAGCUGAAAGGGAUGUCCAAAGACCAAACGAAAACCCUCUGGCCACAUUUGACCUUCUUAAUGGCGUCUUACCAAAGAUAAAAAGCGAAGGUAACAUUAAUAAUGCAAGUAGACCAGACGUUGCUGUAGUGGAUGAGAAGAAGGUCGACUCCACAAAAAAGAUGCGAAAGAUGUCCAAGUCUCUGAACGAACUGAGAAAAAUAAGAGAAGCAGGCGAUAAAAAGGACCUUUUUAAGGAUUCUAAUGGUAGCUCAAUGAGGUCUUCUUCUACAAUUACACGCAAACCUACCUCGCUACCGGAGGUUUUACUUCUGCUUCAAGAGCAACAGCGUAUGCAAAGUAUGGGUCACCAAAGGUACGCACGAGUCACAAAGGCACGAGGAAAUUGGAAGAAAUCAGCGGCUGCUGUCUUAAGAGGUGCAAACUCACAACCAGAGUCUCCUGAACUUCCUAAAAAACAUUCAGAUGUCAAAGAAAAGAAGGAUAAGAUUGAAAUAGUGCCACAAGGAAAACCUAGAGGAUCUUCAACAGGGUCAGUUUCUUCGAAAGAUUAUGCAAAUGUUUUGUCUUCUUAUCAGACGUCGGAAGAGUACUUGGGGAAAUGCGACAAGUUGGCUGAAGAAGAAAAACUAAAAGCAUUAAAAACCGAAACUUUGUUGCGAAAAAGGAGAAAUUCGUUGAAUUUAGAGAAAGGGGCUCUCCAGAAGAAGCUCGAAAAAACGCACGAGAAAAAGGGCGCAAUGAAGAAAUUACUUGCAAAAGAUGUCGUUAAGAAUAAAGAGGAAAUUAUUAGGGACCAGAAGAGACUUGAGGAAAUUAAUCUUAAACUUGCUCAUGUUGAUAAGGAUAUGAGGGAGAAUAGAAGUAAAGAAGCUGCUGUAAUGGAAAACCUUACUGCCUUGAAAACUAACNCUAGACCAAGACGAUCUUCAGAAAAUUACGAGUCUUUAAGAAGUUCCAUCGAUGCUACUACUCGGUCAGUUCAAGACGAAAGGAGAGCCAAGUUCAUGGAGUCUCCUACAGGAUCGAUAUCUUCUCGUGAUUCAUUCGAUGAUAAGAACGAACUAUACCGGCCUUCUGUCCCAGAAAGUGGUACGUCGCUUCCUCGUAAAGGCUCCAAGAAGAAAUGCCAGGCAUCGCUUUUAGUGUUGGAAGAAGAGUUACAGAAGAUAUCCCCAAAUGUGUCAAGAAGAAAAAAGUACGGAAGUGGAAAGAGAGUGUCCUCGUCUUCGGAAGGAUCCUUUGAUGACAGUUCCUUUAAGGAAUCGCCUGGGACAAGUCGACAAUAUUCAAAUGCACCCGAAGAGAAACGAGAAUCUAUUACAUCUGUUGGAUCACAGGAUUCUCAAGACAAGAAUUACGGAUGGGACAAUGUGGAACUUAAGAGAAAAAGAUACAGUGGAUCACUCCCUACUUUAGCAAAUACCGACUUUCAUUCAGUGGCAGUAUCUAUCCCAACUACCAGCACUACAGACGAUACAGAUGCCCCUCCUGUUAGCAACGAGCAUCGCCCAAGUCUUAUAACUGCGUUGUCUCAGAUUAAGGAUUUUGAAGAAUUCUUAAAAAUCCACCGAAGUCGGUAACGUAAAGCUAUGAUCUAAAGAUGUAACCGUGCUAUUGGUUAAUGCACGAGGUGUUUAGCUAUCACGUGAUCACUCCAAUGAAGAAUAUCACGUGAUCAUGGUUAACCUCGUAUUUCAAGAUUUGACUGAAAUGUUCACCUGUUCCAGUGGAAUUUCCAAGUGUUUCUGCUGUUGAAGUUGUGCAUUUUUUUACUUUAUAAUUGGUAUUUGUAAAUUAGGCCCCGUCCACACGUAUCCGGAAAUUUUUGUAUCAGCAAAAUUUUUUUUGCUGAUACGAAAAUAUUUGCGUCC
rnacentral:misc_RNA from 1 species